AUGGACUAAUGACGAGGAGAAAGUCAAAGUCGCUCCAAUUAGCACCAUCAUAGAAGUCUAGUGCUUCGAUGUAUGUAAAUUUUACCUAAAGAAAUAUUAAGAACAAUGGUUGAAAAACAUUAAUUGCCACAAGUUCAAUUCAUUUAAACUGAACUUAAUAAACAUUCUGAACUGAAUAAAAUAAAAAACGCAAGUAACCACUUUAACAUGAUGAGCAUGAUUCUGUGCUUCUUUUCCUGACCACUAGAGGGAGUCCGACCACUGAUCUAACAUGAACACUACCUGGCAGUGCUGGAUGUCGUCAGCAAGGGCGUGGACCACCGAUCCUGGUCCACCUUUGGCUCCAAAAAGGUUCAGCUCGUCCAGAGCCUCCAGAGCUGCCUGGAAGUGGAUAAAAUUCGCUGUGUUUUAAGUUAGCGAGGAAUGACACGCGUGAUUUUAUUUCAAAUGCUAAGUGCUAAGUGACACUUGGACUGUUUUUCCAAUUUGUCCUCACAAUUUCCUUGAUUGAAGCAGCUGUUUGAGAUCCCAAUCGGUUGGUCAGACUAAAAGUUAGUGGGAAGCCAUUCUUGGAAGACAUGGGGAACCUGAUCCCUCUCGAUCGCCACAAGCCCAAGAACCUUCACGUCAAUAUGUCAACUUUUGCAACUGAAAGUCUGUGGACUGACUGUCCCUAGUUGCUCUCUAGCAAGGAGGUCAUUUAAAGAUCGUCAAAAAGGUCACAAGAGCGACCGGACACCACGUGCGGGCGGGCGAUCUUCAAUGACCUACCUUGGCCGUGCCGAUGGAGCUGGCGUUGAUCUCAGUGAUGCCCUGGUUGGUUUUGUCCCCUCUUUCCCACAUCCCGUAAUCCUGCGAGCAGCCAUUAACAGAAUCUGAAUCGCGCUCGUACCGGACGCUGUCAUCUGAGCCAGGAACAGCAAAAAGAGUGAGGUGGCGUCCACCUGCAGAUGGCCCCACUGGUCAUCGCCGACCACGGUGGCGCAAGUCCUGGUGUUAUACUUGGCGUGAAGCGAGUCGGACGUGCUGCGGCUGUACUUGAACUUCUCUAUUUUAUCCAACUGCAAGUGAGAAAAAAAUGACAACGCAAGAUCAGAGCGGACCAGAAAAUGUCGUGGUGCUUCCUGUACGCAGGGGGGCCACACACUUGGCGCAUAAUGCACUGCAGCACUCCUCUCAUCAGCUUCACCACGCUCUGCAGAAACGCACAAACCAAAGGACACAAUCAGUAAUGACAGACAAUUGGCUUUCCCUCUUUUUGGAGACAUUGUUGUCUAAACUAACGAGACCACUUUGACAGUGUACAGUGGUACCUUGGGAUACAACAUUUAAAUCAUCACUCCCCAUUAGAAUGAAUGGAAAUGCCUUUAAUGCGUUCUAGCUUACCUACAAAACCAUACAAAACAUUUUUUUAGAUAAAACACUGUAAUUAGCAUUCUACUUUCCUAUAAUAUAGACUAUCAUUGUCAUUAAAUACAAUGUAUAGAAUUCAUACAAUUUUUUUCAUCAUUCUUUAAUGUUCAUUGUGCUGCUCCUUCCGGUAUGCUUGCCUUGGCCACCGGGGGGCGGUAUUGUGCAAUUGAGGUUCAUUGGAUAAUUGACAGCUCUUAUGACUAAAAAAAACUCGUAGCGCUGACUACUUUCCUCUCAAGCGACCGCAGGACUGAUAGCUGAAAAAAUAAUGAAGUAAGUAUUUAUAAUUUCUGACUCCAAACCUGCUCAAGUUCGUAGGCCUUAGCCUUGUCUUCAUCUCUGUCGGCGUUCUUCCUGUAGGCCAGGCUCAGCGCCCACACGGACACGAUGCUGUAAACGUUGUCUCGGACCCAAGCGUCCGGCUGCUCGCCGCUUCCGGGCAAAAGGCCCGUGACGGGGUCCUGUGGAGCGCGUGCCACAUAUUUUUUUUGCAACGUGUUUGAGUAAAAAAAUUAAUUUGUAAGACAGCCAAGCAUUUCACAAAUCGAAGCAAGCACGCAUGGCAUCUUAUUUGGAGAACUGUAUGAGUGAGUACAGGCAUUAAGAAAUAUUUUGUAAUAAGUGUGUUUUUACCCGUUUAAAUGUGUGUGGGAGAAACAUGCCUGCCACAAAUUGUCAUUUGGGGAUUCUACUGAGAAUAAUAAAUGAAUACAAAUCUGCCUUUGAAUAA